GGGAAUGUGGCUUAGUGGUAGAGUACUUGCUUAGCAAGCAUGAAGCCCUGGGUUUGAUUCCUCAGUACCA
rnacentral:tRNA from 1 species